rnacentral:rRNA from 1 species
UGGGGAAUAUUGCACAAUGGGCGCAAGCCUGAUGCAGCCAUGCCGCGUGUGUGAAGAAGGCCUUCGGGUUGUAAAGCACUUUCAGCGAGGAGGAAGGUGGUGAACUUAAUACGUUCAUCAAUUGACGUUACUCGCAGAAGAAGCACCGGCUAACUCCGUGCCAGCAGCCGCGGUAAUACGGAGGGUGCAAGCGUUAAUCGGAAUUACUGGGCGUAAAGCGCACGCAGGCGGUUUGUUAAGUCAGAUGUGAAAUCCCCGGGCUCAACCUGGGAACUGCAUUUGAAACUGGCAAGCUAGAGUCUCGUAGAGGGGGGUAGAAUUCCAGGUGUAGCGGUGAAAUGCGUAGAGAUCUGGAGGAAUACCGGUGGCGAAGGCGGCCCCCCUGGACGAAGACUGACGCUCAGGUGCGAAAGCGUGGGGCAGCAAACAGGAUUAGAUACCCUGGUAGUCCACGCUGUAAACGAUGUCGAUUUGGAGGUUGUGCCCUUGAGGCGUGGCUUCCGGAGCUAACGCGUUAAAUCGACCGCCUGGGGAGUACGGCCGCAAGGUUAAAACUUAAAGGAAUUGACGGGGUCAUAGCU